GACAGAGGGUGCGAACGUUGUUCGGAAUUACUGGGCGUAAAGCGCGUGUAGGCGGCAGCGUGUGUCGGGCGUGAAAUCCCACGGCUCAACCGUGGAAGUGCACUCGAAACUGCGCAGCUAGAGUCCUGGAGAGGAAGGUGGAAUGCUUGGUGUAGAGGUGAAAUUCGUAGAUAUCAAGCGGAACACCGGUGGCGAAGGCGGCCUUCUGGACAGUGACUGACGCUGAGACGCG
rnacentral:rRNA from 1 species